GUUGAACGCUGGCGGCAGGCCUAACACAUGCAAGUCGAACGGGUGGCGGACGGGUGGGUAAUGUCUGGGAAACUGCCUGAUGGACGGGGAUAACGACGGGAAAAGGUAGCUACUACUGCAUACCAUCAGAUGGGGCCAGAUGGGAGGAGCUUGUUGGGGGGGUAACGGCUAACCAAGGCGACGAUCCCUAGCUGGUCUGAGAGGAUGACCAGCCACACUGGAACUGAGACACGGUCCAGACUCCUACGGGAGGCAGCAGUAGGGAAUAUUCCGCAAUGGACGAAAGCCUGAUGCAGCAACGCCGCGUGUAUGAAGAAGGCUUUCGGGUUGUAAAGUACUUUCGGCGGGGAGGCGUUACCCACAGAGAAAGCAACGGCUAACUACGUGCCAGCAGCCGCGGUAAUUC
rnacentral:rRNA from 1 species